CAUUCAUAAUUUCACCAUAGAGAAUCACAAUAUCCAUGGCUUGCCAGAAGGCUAUCUACCUCAAACAGAGUUUACAAAAGAAAAAAAAAACGGUUGCAAUCCAAGGAUAGAAGAUUCGCUCUCCACAUCAUGGGCAAGCACCUCAUCCGGCGGUCUUGACCGGAGUCUGACGGUCUAUUUCACUCUCUUUCCGUUCUCUGUGAGUACUUCUGAAAGGUCAACCAAUGUUUACAGCCCAUCAUCACCACCAUUAUCUGUUUUUUUUCCUUUGGGUGCGGUGCCCAUGUAGUAGUAUCUUGUGCUGCAGGUCACCAAAUGGCGUGCUUGAAGGGCUCGAACCAGGGGAGGAGACGGCUUAAUGAAGAAAUCGUGCUCUAAAGAUAAGAAGGAAAGGAGACUGAGAAUUCAACAGGCUGGUGGUGGGUCAAAGAUGGGCACCAAGUCUGCUCGAACCACUGGAAGAGACGACCAGUGGAGG
rnacentral:lncRNA from 1 species